rnacentral:rRNA from 1 species
UACGAAGGGGGCUAGCGUUGCUCGGAAUCACUGGGCGUAAAGGGCGUGUAGGCGGGAAGGAAAGUCAGAUGUGAAAUCCCCAGGCUCAACCUGGGAACUGCAUUUGAAACUCCCUUCUUGAGUACCGGAGAGGAAAGUGGAAUUCCUGGUGUAGAGGUGAAAUUCGUAGAUAUCAGGAGGAACACCAGUGGCGAAGGCGGGUCUCUGGGCAGUAACUGACGCUGAGGAGCGAAAGGCGUGGGGAGCGAACAGG